rnacentral:rRNA from 1 species
CGAACGGGUGAGUAAUGCGUGACCAACCUGCCCCAUGCUCCAGAAUAGCUCUUGGAAACGGGCGGUAAUGCUGGAUGCUCCAACUUGACGCAUGUCUUGUUGGGAAAGUGUUUAGUGGCAUGGGAUGGGGUCGCGUCCUAUCAGCUUGUAGGCGGGGUAAUGGCCCACCUAGGCUUCGACGGGUAGCCGGCCUGAGAGGGCGGACGGCCACAUUGGGACUGAGAUACGGCCCAGACUCCUACGGGAGGCAGCAGAC